UGGAGGACUGAGAAGGUUGAGCAGCUGAUUGUUCUGCUUUAACUGGUUAGAACCUCCCAGAUCAAAAUCAAUCCAAGUUCUACUAACAGCUC